rnacentral:rRNA from 1 species
CAGUCGCCGCGGUAAUACGGAGGGUGCAAGCGUUAUCCGGAUUUAUUGGGUUUAAAGGGUCCGUAGGCGGACUUAUAAGUCAGUGGUGAAAGCCUGUCGCUUAACGAUAGAACUGCCAUUGAUACUGUAAGUCUUGAGUAUAUUUGAGGUAGCUGGAAUAAGUAGUGUAGCGGUGAAAUGCAUAGAUAUUACUUAGAACACCAAUUGCGAAGGCAGGUUACCAAGAUAUAACUGACGCUGAGGGACGAAAGCGUGGGUAGCGAACAGGAUUAGAUACCCGAGUAGUCCCUGUCUCUUAUAU